UCCGUAGGGGGCUGCGCGUGUCUGGCGUGAAAGGCCAAGGCUCAACCUUGGAACGGCGCUGGCGACUGCGUGGCUGGAGUGCCGGAGAGGAAAGUGGAAUUCCUGGUGUAGCGGUGGAAUGCGUAGAUAUCAGGAGGAACACCGAUGGCGAAGGCAGCUUUCUGGACGGCAACUGACCCUGAGGGACGAAAGCUGGGGGAGCAAACAGGAUUAGAUACCCUGGUAGUCCCAGCUGUAAACGUUGUGCGCUAGGUGUAGGCGGAUUUGGUCCCGUCUGUGCCUCAGCUAACGCGGUAAGCGCACCGCCUGGGGGGUACGGCCGCAAGGUUAAA
rnacentral:rRNA from 1 species